UUGAUGCUCAAGUUAGUAGGAAAAUAAAGAACAGAGAGAGAGAGAUACUUUUUGAGUGCUUAUCUUGGGGUCUCUGCUUCCCUCUAUUUAUUUAUAAAGAGAGAGAAUUAAAGUCACGUGCGUCUGAAGGACUAACCGAUUUUUGGAUAUUAUAUGCAGAUCAAGCUGACGGUGAUUGUUUCUGUGUUUACGAUGCGGAACUAGUAGUCAGUUUCCA
rnacentral:lncRNA from 1 species